CCUACGGGAGGCAGCAGUGGGGAAUCUUGGGCAAUGGACGCAAGCCUGAUCCAGCAACGCCGCGUGAGGGAAGAAGGCUUUCGGGUUGUAAACUUCUUUUAUCAGGGACGAAGGAAGUGACGGUACCUGAUGAAUAAGCCGCGGCUAACUACGUGCCAGCAGCCGCGGUACUACGUAGGUGGCAAGCGUUCUCCGGAUUUACUGGGUGUAAAGGGCGAGUAGGCGGGAGUGCAAGUCAGAUGUGAAAGCUAUGGGCUCAACCCAUAGAUUGCAUUUGAAACUGUACUUCUUGAGUGCUGGAGAGGCAAGCGGAAUUCCGUGUGUAGCGGUGAAAUGCGUAGAUAUACGGAGGAACACCAGUGGCGAAGGCGGAUUUCUGGACAGUAACUGACGCUGAGGCGCGAAAGCGUGGGUAGCAAACAGGAUUAGAUACCCGUGUAGUC
rnacentral:rRNA from 1 species